rnacentral:rRNA from 1 species
AGAAUCAACGCUGGCGGCGUGCCUAACACAUGCAAGUCGAACGAGAAAGUGGAGCAAUCCAUUAGUAAAGUGGCGCACGGGUGAGUAACACGUGACUAACCUACCCUUGAGUGGGGGGAUAACCUAGAGAAAUCUGGGCUAAUACCGCAUAAUACCUUCGGGUCAAAGGAGCAAUUCGCUUAAGGAGGGGGUCGCGGCCGAUUAGUUAGUUGGCGGGGUAAUGGCCCACCAAGACUAUGAUCGGUAUCCGGCCUGAGAGGGCGCACGGACACACUGGAACUGAAACACGGUCCAGACUCCUACGGGAGGCAGCAGUGGGGAAUUUGCGCAAUGGGGGAAACCCUGACGCAGCAACGCCGCGUGGAGGAUGAAGCCCCUUGGGGCGUAAACUCCUUUCGAUCGGGACGAUAAUGACGGUACCGAGAGAAGAAGCCCCGGCUAACUUCGCGCCAGCAGCCGC